rnacentral:rRNA from 1 species
GGGUUGUGAGGUUAAGCGACUAAGCGUACACGGUGGAUGCCCUGGCAGUCAGAGGCGAUGAAGGGCGUGCUAAUCUGCGAUAAGCGCCGGUAAGGUGAUAUGAACCGUUAUAACCGGCGAUACCCGAAUGGGGAAACCCAGUGUGAUUCGUCACACUAUCAUUAACUGAAUCCAUAGGUUAAUGAGGCGAACCGGGGGAACUGAAACAUCUAAGUACCCCGAGGAAAAGAAAUCAACCGAGAUUCCCCCAGUAGCGGCGAGCGAACGGGGAGGAGCCCAGAGCCUGAAUCAGCAUGUGUGUUAGUGGAAGCGUCUGGAAAGGCGCGCGAUACAGGGUGACAGCCCCGUACACAAAAGCGCAUGUGCUGUGAGCUCGAUGAGUAGGGCGGGACACGUGGUAUCCUGUCUGAAUAUGGGGGACCAUCCUCCAAGGCUAAAUACUCCUGACUGACCGAUAGUGAACCAGUACCGUGAGGGAAAGGCGAAAAGAACCCCGGCGAGGGGAGUGAAAAAGAACCUGAAACCGUGUACGUACAAGCAGUGGGAGCACCCUUCGGGGUGUGACUGCGUACCUUUUGUAUAAUGGGUCAGCGACUUAUAUUCUGUAGCAAGGUUAACCGUAUAGGGGAGCCGCAGGGAAACCGAGUCUUAACCGGGCGUUAAGUUGCAGGGUAUAGACCCGAAACCCGGUGAUCUAGCCAUGGGCAGGUUGAAGGUUGGGUAACACUAACUGGAGGACCGAACCGACUAAUGUUGAAAAAUUAGCGGAUGACCUGUGGCUGGGGGUGAAAGGCCAAUCAAACCGGGAGAUAGCUGGUUCUCCCCGAAAGCUAUUUAGGUAGCGCCUCGUGAAUUCAUCUCCGGGGGUAGAGCACUGUUUCGGCUAGGGGGCCAUCCCGGCUUACCAACCCGAUGCAAACUGCGAAUACCGGAGAAUGUUAUCACGGGAGACACACGGCGGGUGCUAACGUCCGUCGUGAAGAGGAAACAACCCAGACCGCCAGCUAAGGUCCCAAAGUCAUGGUUAAGUGGAAACGAUGUGGGAAGGCCCAGACAGCCGGAUGUUGGCUUAGAAGCAGCCAUCAUUUAAAGAAAGCGUAAUAGCUCACUGGUCGAGUCGGCCUGCGCGGAAGAUGUAACGGGGCUAAACCAUGCACCGAAGCUGCGGCAGCGACGCUUAUGCGUUGUUGGGUAGGGGAGCGUUCUGUAAGCCUGCGAAGGUGGCCUGUGAGGGUUGCUGGAGGUAUCAGAAGUGCGAAUGCUGACAUAAGUAACGAUAAAGCGGGUGAAAAGCCCGCUCGCCGGAAGACCAAGGGUUCCUGUCCAACGUUAAUCGGGGCAGGGUGAGUCGACCCUAAGGCGAGGCCGAAAGGCGUAGUCGAUGGGAAACGGGUUAAUAUUCCCGUACUUGGUGUUACUGCGAAGGGGGGACGGAGAAGGCUAUGUUGGCCGGGCGACGGUUGUCCCGGUUUAAGCGUGUAGGUGUGUGUUCCAGGUAAAUCCGGUUCACUUUAACACUGAGGCGUGACGACGAGGCACUACGGUGCUGAAGCAACAAAUGCCCUGCUUCCAGGAAAAGCCUCUAAGCAUCAGGUAACAUCAAAUCGUACCCCAAACCGACACAGGUGGUCAGGUAGAGAAUACCAAGGCGCUUGAGAGAACUCGGGUGAAGGAACUAGGCAAAAUGGUGCCGUAACUUCGGGAGAAGGCACGCUGACACGUAGGUGAAGUGAUUUACUCAUGGAGCUGAAGUCAGUCGAAGAUACCAGCUGGCUGCAACUGUUUAUUAAAAACACAGCACUGUGCAAACACGAAAGUGGACGUAUACGGUGUGACGCCUGCCCGGUGCCGGAAGGUUAAUUGAUGGGGUCAGCGCAAGCGAAGCUCCUGAUCGAAGCCCCGGUAAACGGCGGCCGUAACUAUAACGGUCCUAAGGUAGCGAAAUUCCUUGUCGGGUAAGUUCCGACCUGCACGAAUGGCGUAAUGAUGGCCAGGCUGUCUCCACCCGAGACUCAGUGAAAUUGAACUCGCUGUGAAGAUGCAGUGUACCCGCGGCAAGACGGAAAGACCCCGUGAACCUUUACUAUAGCUUGACACUGAACAUUGAGCCUUGAUGUGUAGGAUAGGUGGGAGGCUUUGAAGCGUGGACGCCAGUCUGCAUGGAGCCGACCUUGAAAUACCACCCUUUAAUGUUUGAUGUUCUAACGUGGACCCGUAAUCCGGGUUGCGGACAGUGUCUGGUGGGUAGUUUGACUGGGGCGGUCUCCUCCUAAAGAGUAACGGAGGAGCACGAAGGUUGGCUAAUCCGGUCGGACAUCAGGAGGUUAGUGCAAUGGCAUAAGCCAGCUUGACUGCGAGCGUGACGGCGCGAGCAGGUGCGAAAGCAGGUCAUAGUGAUCCGGUGGUUCUGAAUGGAAGGGCCAUCGCUCAACGGAUAAAAGGUACUCCGGGGAUAACAGGCUGAUACCGCCCAAGAGUUCAUAUCGACGGCGGUGUUUGGCACCUCGAUGUCGGCUCAUCACAUCCGGGGCUGAAGUAGGUCCCAAGGGUAUGGCUGUUCGCCAUUUAAAGUGGUACGCGAGCUGGGUUUAGAACGUCGUGAGACAGUUCGGUCCCUAUCUGCCGUGGGCGCUGGAGAACUGAGGGGCUGCUCCUAGUACGAGAGGACCGGAGUGGACGCAUCACUGGUGUUCGGGUUGUCAUGCCAAUGGCACUGCCCGGUAGCUAAAUGCGGAAGAGAUAAGUGCUGAAAGCAUCUAAGCACGAAACUUGCCCCGAGAUGAGUUCUCCCUGAGACUUAGAGUCUCCUGAAGGAACGUUGAAGACGACGACGUUGAUAGGCCGGGUGUGUAAGCGCAGCGAUGCGUUGAGCUAACCGGUACUAAUGAACCGUGAGGCUUAACCUUACAACGCCGAAG